UUCCGGUUAAAUCCAUUAGCUUAACUGAUGGGCCGCCGGAAAAACUGCAAAGCUAGGGAGUGGGAGAGGUAGACGGUACUCGGUAGGAAGGGGUAAAAUCCUUUGAUCUAUUGAUGACCACCUGUGGCGAAGGCGGUCUACCAGAACACGUUCGACGGUGAGGGAUGAAAGCUGGGGGAGCAAACCGGAUUAGAUACCCGGGUAGUCCCAGCUGUAAACGAUGCAGACUCGGUGAUGCCCUGGCUUGUGGCCAGUGCAGUGCCGCAGGGAAGCCGUUAAGUUUGCCGCCUGGGAAGUACGUACGCAAGUAUGAAACUUAAAGGAAUUGGCGGGGGAGCACCACAAGGGGUGAAGCCUGCGGUUCAAUUGGAGUCAACGCCAGAAAUCUUACCCGAAGAGACAGCAGAAUGAAGGUCAAGCUGGAGACUUUACCAGACAAGCUGAGAAGUGGUGCAUGGCCGUCGCCAGCUCGUGCCGUGAGAUGUCCUGUUAAGUCAGGUAACGAGCGAGAUCCCUGCCUCUAGUUGCCACCAUUACUCUCAGGAGUAGUGGGGCGAAUUAGCGGGACCGCCACAGUUAAUGUGGAGGAAGGAAGGGGCCACGGCAGGUCAGUAUGCCCUGAAACUUUGGGGCCACACGCGGGCUGCAAUGAUAGUGACAGUGAGUUCCUAAACCGAAAGGUGGAGGCAAUCUUCAAACGCUAUCACAGUUAUGAUUGAGGGCUGCAACUCGCCCUCAUGAAUAUGGAAUCCCUAGUAACUGCGUGUCAUUACCGCGCGGUGAAUACGUCCCUGCU
rnacentral:rRNA from 1 species